GACGAACGCUGGCGGCGUGCUUAACACAUGCCAGUCGAACGGAAAGGCCCUGCUUUUGUGGGGUGCUCGAGUGGCGAACGGGUGAGUAACGCGUGAGUAACCUGCCCUUGACUUUGGGAUAACUUCAGGAAACUGGGGCUAAUACCGGAUAGGAGCCCCUGCUGCAUGGUGGGGGUUGGAAAGUUUCGGCGGUUGGGGAUGGACUCGCGGCUUAUCAGCUUGUUGGUGGGGUAGUGGCUUACCAAGGCUUUGACGGGUAGCCGGCCUGAGAGGGUGACCGGCCACAUUGGGACUGAGAGACGGCCCAGACUCCUACGGGGGGCAGCAGUGGGGAAUAUUGCACAAUGGGCGGAAGCCUGAUGCAGCAACGCCGCGUGCGGGAUGACGGCCUUCGGGUUGUAAACCGCUUUCGCCUGUGACGAAGCGUGAGUGACGGUAAUGGGUAAAGAAGCACCGGCUAACUACGUG
rnacentral:rRNA from 1 species